GUCCUGCUGACGAGUCACAAAUGAGACGAAACGCGCGUCCUGAAU
rnacentral:hammerhead_ribozyme from 1 species